CUUGGAAUCAGAUGAAUGUUGACAGCAGGAAGGGCACCUAGCUGUAGGAAAUUUGCCUCAAAUUCUGUCUGACCCAUGCAAGCAUGGAAAAGUGGGCAUUAAAUCAACAAUGAUGAUGA